rnacentral:misc_RNA from 1 species
UCCGGUUUGGCACCGGCAGUCCCCCCAGAGUCCCCGCCAUGACGCGCUGGCAACUGGGAGCGAGGGUUGCGCUCGUUGCGGGACUUAACCCAACAUCUCACGACACGAGCUGACGACAGCCAUGCAGCACCUGUGUUACGGUUCCCUUUCGGGCACUCUCCCAUCUCUGGGAGAUUCCGUACAUGUCAAGGGUAGGUAAGGUUUUUCGCGUUGCAUCGAAUUAAUCCACAUAAUCCACCGCUUGUGCGGGUCCCCGUCAAUUCCUUUGAGUUUUAACCUUGCGGCCGUAUUCCCCAGGCGGAGCACUUAAUGCGUUAGCGUCGGCACCGCAGGGGUCAAUCCGACCAACACCUAGUUCACAACGUUUAGGGCGUGGACUAC